GGUUAGUCAUGAGCUGGCUGGUGUAUAUUCUGAAUCUAAAGUUGCUUAUUACUACUUUAGCUCUAGAAUCACACUGAGACUUG